AGUUCGAUCAUGGCUCAGAUUGAACGCUGGCGGGAUGCUUUUACACAUGCAAGUCGAACGGCAGCACGGACUUCGGUCUGGUGGCGAGUGGCGAACAGGUGAGUAAUGUAUGGAACGUGCCGGGUAGCAGGGGAUAACUACGCAGAAAGCGUAGCUAAUACCACAUACGCCCCUUCGGGGAAAGCAGGGGACCUUCGGGCCUCGCACUAUUAGAGCGGCCGAUAUCGGAUUAGCUAGUUGGUGGGGUAACGGCUCGCAAGGCGACGUCCGUAGCUGGUUUGAGAGGACGACCACACUGGGACUGAGACACGACCCAGACUCCACCACGGGAGGCAGCAGUGAAAUUUUGGACAAUGGGGAAACCCUGAUCCAGCCAUCCCGCGUGUGCGAUGAAGGCCUUCAGGUUGUAAAGCACUUUUGGCAGGAAAAGCAGCUGGAUAAUACCCCGUGCAACUGACGGUACCUGCAGAAUAAGCACCAGUAACUACGUGCCAGCAGCCGCGGUAAUACGUAAGUGCAAGCGUUAAUCGAUUACUGGGCGUAAAGCGCGCGGGCGGUUUCGGAAGAAAGAUGUUGAAAUCCACAGGCUUAACUGGAACUGCAUUUUUAACUACCGAGCUAGAGUGUGUCAGAGAGGUGGAAUUCCGUGUAGCAGUGAAAUGCGUGAAUAUGCGGGAGGAACACCGAUGGCGAAGGCAGCCUCCUGGGAUAACACUGACGCUCAUGCACGAAAGCGUGGGGGGCAGAGCAGGAUUAGAAUGCCCUGGUAGUCCACGCCUAAACGUGUCUGUUGGGGCCUUCGGGCCUUGUUAGCGCAGCUAACGCGUGAAGUUGACCGCCUGGGGAAUACGGUCGCAAGAUUAAAACUCAAAGGAAUUGACGGGACCCGCACAAGCGGUGUGGAUAAGUGUGGUUAAUUCCGAUGCAACGCGAAAAACCUUACCUACCUUGACAUGUCUGGAAUCCCGAAGAGAUUUGGGAGUGCUCGCAAGAGAACCGGAACACAGGUGCUGCAUGGCUGUCGUCAGCUCGUGUCGUGAGAUGUUGGGUUAAGUCCCGCAACAGCGCAACCACCGACAAUAGUUGCUACGAAAGGGGCACUCUAAUGGAACACAGUGACAAACCAGGAGGAAGGUGGGGAUGACGUCAAGUCCUCAGCCCUUAUGGGUAGAGGCUACGUCAUACAAUGGUCAGGGCGGGGUCAUAUGUACGGAAGACCAAUCAGAAACCCGAUCGUAGUCCGGAUCGCAGUCUGCAACUCGACUGCGUGAAGUCAGAAUCAUAGUAAUCGCGGAUCAGCAUGUCGCGGUGAAUACGUUCCCGGGUCUUGUACACACCGCCCGUCACACCAUGGGAGUGGGUUUUACCAGAAGUAGUUAGCCUAACCGUAAGGAGGGCGAUUACCACGGUGAUUCAUGACUGGGGUGAAGUCGUAACAAGGUAG
rnacentral:rRNA from 1 species